UACGUAGGGGGCAAGCGUUGUCCGGAAUCAUUGGGCGUAAAGCGCGUGUAGGCGGUUCGGUAAGUCCGCUGUGAAAGUCGGGGGCUCAACCCUCGGAUGCCGGUGGAUACUGUCGAGCUUGAGUACGGAAGAGGCGAGUGGAAUUCCUGGUGUAGAGGUGAAAUGCGCAGAUAUCAGGAGGAACACCAAUUGCGAAGGCAGCUCGCUGGGACGUUACUGACGCUGAGACGCGAAAGCGUGGGGAGCAAACAGG
rnacentral:rRNA from 1 species